ACGGAGAUAGAUAACGGAACUGACAGGAACAGAAAACCAAAUGCCGCAUGUUCUAGCUUAUAAGUGGGAGCUAAACAUUGAGUACACAGGGACACAAAGAAGAAAAUGACAGACACUGAGGCCUACUUGAUGGUGGACAGUGGGAAGGAGGACAGAAUACCCGGGAGAAGUUUCCUUUCCCUAAAUAUACCUGCAAUUUUCAAGUCCUUUUAAUUCACACCUUUAAAUGAAAGGGUUGA
rnacentral:lncRNA from 1 species